rnacentral:rRNA from 1 species
CGGUGGAUGAUGUGGUAUUAAUUCGAUGACAACGACGAAAACCUUACCUACCCUUGACAUGUCUGGAAUCCCGAAGAGAUUUGGGAGUGCUCGCAAGAGAACCGGAACACAGGUGCUGCAUGGCUGUCGUCAGCUCGUGUCGUGAGAUGUUGGGUUAAGUCCCGCAACGAGCGCAACCCUUGUCAUUAGUUGCUACGAAAGGGCACUCUAAUGAGACUGCCGGUGACAAACCGGAGGAAGGUGGGGAUGACGUCAAGUCCUCAUGGCCCUUAUGGGUAGGGCUUCACACGUCAUACAAUGGUCGGGACAGAGGGUCGCCAACCCGCGAGGGGGAGCCAAUCCCAGAAACCCGAUCGUAGUCCGGAUUGUAGUCUGCAACUCGACUACAUGAAGUCGGAAUCGCUAGUAAUCGCGGGUCAGCAGACCGCGGUGAAUACGUUCCCGGGUUUU